UCCUAGAAAGUAGUUGCUAGCCUUGUUACUUCUCCCUUAUACACCUUAUUGGGGUUCUUCUUAUAAGCUUUCUACACACUUCGAGUUCUCAAUUUAUGACAUCUCUACAAUUAACACUAAGACAUUGAGGUCAGUUUGAGCCUUUAGUCAGAAGGACACUCUAAUGCCUAAGUUAGGCUAGGAUUGAUCUUUUGAAAAAGACAAGGAGGAAGGGAGAAUGUAAAACCCACUCUUUAUUCUUUUCUUUUCUUUUCUUUCUUUCAUAUUCUAAUUCGUUCAAUCACCUUGCACUCUCCAUGCCUUUCACCCAUUCUUGACCUAACCUUGAGUUCCUCAAUAUAGCCAUCCCUACCAUGCUAGAUCUUACACCACUGUUAGUGCCCUUAUCUUCAAAGGGUAGCCAUAGCCUUGCCUCCUUUCUCUUGCUAUACAUCAGCCUUGGUGAUGCUAGUGGAUAUCUAGAACUUGUAGUAAAAGGCUAGUUAUGGAACCAGGCUGUAGAGUGGUGGUGUUGGAGGAUGAGGCUAUGGCGUGUGGAAAGUUUCCGUUGGUAGUAGUGAUUGAAGGAGGCUAGGUGCAAUCUUAUCUUCCAGAAUGAAGCUUUGGACUGUUAUGCUCUAUCCUUAAGCGUAAUCGCCCACGUCAGGAACUGUUUGGAAUCGCGAUGCAGUGCAGUCAGGUGUUUGCUUUCACUUAUCCAAUUACAAUUUUAGUCUUGCCUGUGCUGGUUGCUGCUUCACUCAAGCUGAAUCUGACAUUGAAGCUGAUGCUUUGGUUCUUAGGACUGCUGCAGUGUUCGAUGGACUUACAAAUCCUUUGCAAACAUAUUUUUGUGGCCAGUGAGGAUCUCUUUAUCGCUAUUAAGCGCGGCAACCCGCAGACAUUAUGGAGAUUGGACCCGUUGAUUGCUAAUAUUCUGAACCUCUUGAGUGCGAUGAAUUUUCCUCAACUCCACAUUAUCCCUCGCUCAUGGAUGAGAGCUGCGUUCAGUUUGGCUAAUCUUAAUACUAGCAAACAUGAUAUUACACUGUUUCAUUAGGGAAGAGACCUCCCACGGUAGAUCAUGAAGCACUUCUCUUAGUUUGGGUCCUUUUAUUUGUAUCUUUUCAUUUCUGCUUCCUUUGUUUUUCUGUUUAAGUUUUCUUCUCCUGUUCGCUUGGCUCUUCUGUUGUAGUCUUUCUUUUGAAUAUAUAGCUCUUUGAGCUCUUUUUUCU